AUCUAUUUAUCUCCCAGUUCAAUCUAAUAGAGAACUGUGCAAGCUCUGCACUGUUUUUCUGGACAUCUUUCUCACCUCCUUGCUUGACCAGUUCCCCUUUCACAGAGGAUUUUAGAGCAUUUUCCUUCCUUCCUAGGAUAUGCAACUGCUUGGCUCACCUGCCACAAGCUUCAACAACUGUAUCUGAGGAACAUCUUGACUGCAGCUGAACGGAGCCCCGUUGGCGAUGGCAAGAAGGAGGUUAGUGCACAAACCUUUGG
rnacentral:lncRNA from 1 species